rnacentral:lncRNA from 1 species
CGAAUCACUCGCCACACAUACUGUCACGCGACCGUAACCGUCUGCCGGGGGCGCACAGCCGUGAUGUAGCAUACCGAAUUUUUAAUAAAAGUGAAUAUAAAUAAAAAUAGUGUGAGAUACUAUUUUUAUUGGAUUUAAAGAAGUAAAAUAUAAGUCGGGAUUGACUCGUGCGAAAAUCGGAGUGAAAACAGAAGAUUGAGAAUUUUCUGUGAGAUACGGGGCUGAUAUUUUAGCAGAAAAUGUACGGUGUCAGAAAAUUCCGUAAAUACGGGAAUAUGUUAGGAUUAUUUUUAUGAGGCUAGAUUUAAAGUUCCAUGUCGAUCCGACACCCAAAAGAU